rnacentral:rRNA from 1 species
GAUGAACGCUGGCGGCGUGCCUAAUACAUGCAAGUCGAGCGAACAGACGAGGAGCUUGCGCCUCUGACGUUAGCGGCGGACGGGUGAGUAACACGUGGAUAACCUACCUAUAAGACUGGGAUAACUUCGGGAAACCGGAGCUAAUACCGGAUAAUAUAUUGAACCGCAUGGUGCAAUAGUGAAAGACGGUUUUGCGGUCACUUAUAGAUGGAUCCGCGCCGCAUUAGCUAGUUGGUAAGUUAACGGCUUACCAAGGCAACGAUGCGUAGCCGACGGGAGAGGGUGAUCGGCCACACUGGAGCGUGGACACCGUCAAGACGCCUACGGUAGGCAGCAGACGGGAACCUUCCGCAAUGGGCGAAAGCCUGACAGAGCAGCGCCAAGCGAGAGAUAACGGUCCUGGGAUCGUAAAACUCUGUUACUAGGGAAGAACCAAUGUGUAAGUAACUAUGCACGUCUUGACGGUACCUAAUAAGAAAGCCACGGCUAACUACGUG